AGCAACCCUAAUAUUUGAAUUGUUACAAGGAUACCACUCUACUGGGUCAGCUCUUCAUGGCAGCUCUGCAGGAGGUCUCCUGGUGACAUCAGCACCGUAUCACAGCCCUGCUGAGAGCAGGCUGACUCACGCACCAUGUAUAUCAAGUUGGCCAGAAUGCACUGGACCUCGUCAAUGUCCACGUCUUCCACGUGCAUGAACUUCAAAGCAACCAGAAAGGCGUCUAGGGACAGCUGAUGUGUCUUGAGUAACAAAUACCUAUGAAGAAAAGAAACUACUGUAAGUAACAACAGGACUCAGUACUUCAGGGACAAGAAGAAGAGCCAGAGGACAGGCAGUGACAUUAUUUGAGACUCAGACACUGUCUUCUGCCUGGAUGGAUCCUGCAUGCACACGAUGCACUUCCUACCCACAUGCAGGCAACACUCAAUAAAACAAAAGUAAAUCUU
rnacentral:lncRNA from 1 species